rnacentral:rRNA from 1 species
CUGGCGGCGUGCCUAAUACAGCAAGUCGAACGCACAGCGAAAGGUGCUUGCACCUUUCAAGUGAGUGGCGAACGGGUGAGUAACACGUGGACAACCUGCCUCAAGGCUGGGGAUAACAUUUGGAAACAGAUGCUAAUACCGAAUAAAACUUAGUGUCGCAUGACACAAAGUUAAAAGGCGCUUCGGCGUCACCUAGAGAUGGAUCCGCGGUGCAUUAGUUAGUUGGUGGGGUAAAGGCCUACCAAGACAAUGAUGCAUAGCCGAGUUGAGAGACUGAUCGGCCACAUUGGGACUGAGACACGGCCCAAACUCCUACGGGAGGCUGCAGUAGGGAAUCUUCCACAAUGGGCGAAAGCCUGAUGGAGCAACGCCGCGUGUGUGAUGAAGGCUUUCGGGUCGUAAAGCACUGUUGUAUGGGAAGAACAGCUAGAAUAGGAAAUGAUUUUAGUUUGACGGUACCAUACCAGAAAGGGACGGCUAAAUACGUGCCAGCAGCCGCGGUAAUACGUAUGUCCCGAGCGUUAUCCGGAUUUAUUGGGCGUAAAGCGAGCGCAGACGGUUUAUUAAGUCUGAUGUGAAAGCCCGGAGCUCAACUCCGGAAUGGCAUUGGAAACUGGUUAACUUGAGUGCAGUAGAGGUAAGUGGAACUCCAUGUGUAGCGGUGGAAUGCGUAGAUAUAUGGAAGAACACCAGUGGCGAAGGCGGCUUACUGGACUGCAACUGACGUUGAGGCUCGAAAGUGUGGGGAGCAAAC